UAGCUUAUCGUUAGCUUAUCAUGGUCAAGCC
rnacentral:piRNA from 1 species